AACGAACGCUGGCGGCACGCCUAACACAUGCAAGUCGAACGAGAUCUUCGGGUCUAGUGGCGCACGGGUGCGUAACGCGUGGGAAUCUGCCCUUUGGUUCGGAAUAACAGUUGGAAACGACUGCUAAUACCGGAUGAUGACGAAAGUCCAAAGAUUUAUCGCCAGAGGAUGAGCCCGCGUAGGAUUAGCUAGUUGGUGUGGUAAAGGCGCACCAAGGCGACGAUCCUUAGCUGGUCUGAGAGGAUGAUCAGCCACACUGGGACUGAGACACGGCCCAGACUCCUACGGGAGGCAGCAGUGGGGAAUAUUGGACAAUGGGCGAAAGCCUGAUCCAGCAAUGCCGCGUGAGUGAUGAAGGCCUUAGGGUUGUAAAGCUCUCUUACCCGGGAUGAUAAUGACAGUACCGGGAGAAUAAGCUCCGGCUAACUCCGUACCAGCCGCCGCCGUAA
rnacentral:rRNA from 1 species